rnacentral:misc_RNA from 1 species
GAAAACAUCCGUAAAUUCCCUCAGUGACCUUUCUGGCUUUUAUUGUUUCUUAAAAAUGGAAAAUUGUGCCAGGUAAGAGAUCGGGGAAUUGUAUGGUUCGUGUUUUCUGAUUUUGUUAAUGUCUUGAGGAUCUGUGGAGGUGGUCUGCUGCUAAGAACAUCAUAGUUAUGUGAGUAACGAUGGAAUGUCGUGCUUUCAUGCAGUUUUAAUCCUUUACACUAUAGUUGCACCUGCAAAUUUGUGUGUUGCUUGCAAAACAGGCAGUGACCUCCCAAUUGGGCAGUGAUCAGGGAGGAGGUUCUUCAUUGAAUUCUUAUGUUACUUUCUUUGCUACUUCGUACGAUGAGAGCAUAUGUUUUAUAUGAAAAUUGAUACUAUUUUUUCUCAGAUGCUCCUUUUUAGUAUCAUAAUUUUCUUUAUACACAACCCUUAGAUCUUUUUUCAAUGAGAUUUACUUCCUUAUAGGACUGUCCUUUCUAUUUUCUUAUACUUGUGUACUCCUAGUUUGAACUUUAACCCAGUUUCCACUUUCCACCCGGUGUACCUGCUAUAUAUAGAUGGAUGACAAUGGUAAGUUUUAGUUUCUUUGACAUGGAUUUAAUGCAUUUUGAUGUGCAGAUAGUUCUACUCAGUUUGUAUUUUGCUUCAUUACUUCUUUUGAACGAUCUGGUGUCUCAUGAGAUGGAGUGGUGCUGAUGGGAGAAAGAUAUGGAAACAUUUUUGCAAAAUGUUGGACUCACCAUCUAUUUUUUUUUAAUGAUGCUGCUGUUCAUAAUUUCAUUUGCCCGACAACUAUGAUGUUCAUAACUUGGAAUGGUUGUUUAGUCUAUAGGAUUACAUGCAUUACCAACUGAUAGGCCGGUUGAUGGUUUGUGUACAUUAAUAUCUUUUUACAGAUGUUCUUUAUUUAUUGUUUUGUGGUUUUACUUGUAAUUGGUUGAACUGGUAUGGCUGUACACAACACAAAAUACUGAUGCUUGCAUUUUGUUUCUGCUUUUAUUGUAAGAUCUUCAUGUACAUCACUUU